GACGAACGCUGGCGGCGUGCUUAACACAUGCAAGUCGAACGGAAAGGCCCUGCUUUUGUGGGGUGCUCGAGUGGCGAACGGGUGAGUAACACGUGAGUAACCUGCCCUUGACUUUGGGAUAACUUCAGGAAACUGGGGCUAAUACCGGAUAGGAGACCCCGCUGCAUGGUGGGGGUUGGAACUUUUAGGCGGUUGGGGAUGGACUCGCGGCUUAUCAGCUUGUUGGUGGGGUAGUGGCUUACCAAGGCUUUGACGGGUAGCCGGCCUGUGUGGGUGACCGGGCACAUGAGGACUGAGAGACGGCCCAGACGGCAACAGGGGGCAGCAGGGGGGAGUAUGGCACAGUGGGCGGAAGCCGGAGGAAGCGACGCCGCGGUCGGGAUGACGGCCUUCGGGUAGAGAACCGCAGUCGGCUGAGACGAAGCGUGUGUGACGGUAAUGGGUAAAUAAGCACCGGCUAACUACGUG
rnacentral:rRNA from 1 species